GGCGGGAGGGGCGGGCGGCGCUUCAGCAGGUGGGGGCUAGGUGUGCAGCUGGGAGAGGGCCUCGCAGGACCGCGACGGCACGCCGCCACGUCGCCAAGGAUUCCUGCUCCUUGGGAACCGGCUCAGAAGCUGAGCUCUCAGCGCAGAAGUGUCGGUGCCCGUGGUCGUCACUUGCCAGCAUAAAUGCCAAAUUUGGGAUGGUGGCGCUCAUGGACCCCGGCAAGGACCCUGAGGACACACUGCACACACACCGGUCCCGGGAGAAGACCUUCAUCUUCGACAUUGUGUUCGACCAGCACACCUCCCAGCAAGAUGUGUACUUGCCACCCCCCAGCACUUAGUGGAAGGCGUCAUUUCUGGAUACAACGCGACGGUGUUUGCCCACGGCCCCUCAGGUGCUGCCAAAGGCCGGUGUCCCCCGGAGGGAAUGAGGUUGGUGGCAGCGGAGCUCUUCCUAACAGCACAAAGCACCUCGUAUGUGCUGGCCUUGCGCUGGUCCCUCUGCAUCCGUUGGCUCCUUUGGUUCUUUCAACAGCCCUGAAAGGUGCCAGCAAGACCCACACGAUGCUGCGCAUGGACGCGGGGCCCGGCAUCUACCUGCAGAUGCUCACUGACCUCUUCCAGGCCGUCGAGGAGACCCGUGAGAGCACGGACUGCAGCGUGUCCAUGUCUUGCCUCGAGAUUUAUAACGAAGUGAUCUGGGACCUCCUGAAGCCGUCCUCGGGGUUUCUGGACCUGCGGGAAGAUUCUAGGGGCAGCAUCCAGAUCGCAGGCAUCGCGGAGGUCUCCGCCUCAAACACCCAGGAGCUCAGGGUCACGGGGGCCCACGGAGGGACAUGUGGCUCCUCCACGUCAGCCACGCUCACCAGCGCUCACAGAGCAGAGCCAGACACACAGCUCCAAAGCUGCUUUCGAGCUAAGGGAACAGCAAACUUCUGCAUCACGUCCCCGCUCUCCUCACCUGUGCUCAGGGCAGACAUCACCAAUGGAUCACGCACUCUUCCCUCUGCGUCCAGAUGCAUGGAGCGUGUGGCUACUCAGGGACCCUUGACCAUCUGCCCGCUUCUGCUUCUGUCCUCAGACCACGCAGCUCCUCACCAAAGGCAACUGGCAGUGCACACAGGAGUCCACCGCCACCAGCAAGAUGUCGUCCCGCUCCCACGCCGUGCUGCAGGUCACCGUGCACCAGCGCAGCCACGGCACAGACAUGGCAGAGGAAGUGCACAUUGGGAGGCUCUCCAUGGUGGACCUGGCGGGCUCGGAGCUGGCGCCUCAGACCCGGAACCGAGGCAAGAGGAUGAAGGAGGGCGUCCCCAUCAACCGCUCCCUGCCGGCGCUGGGCAACGGCAUCAACGCGCUCAGCGAGAAGGGCGGCAGCCAGGCGCAGUACGUGAACUUCCGGGACGCAAACUCACGCGCGCCUGCUGCAGGUGUCCUUCGUGGGGCAGCCAGCUGGCCCUGACCUUGGCCACGUCCCGCCACCAGGUCAAGCGCAACCUGCUGAACGUGUCCUACCACAUCGCACAGUACGCGGACGUCAUCUCCGACCUGGGCAGGCAGAUCAAGCACCCCAAGGCCAAGGUGGAGAAGCAGGAGAAGGAGAAGAGAAGCAUCCCGGAGGCCGACACGCUCCAGGUGGCACUGCUCCCGGUGCAGCUGGCUCUCUUCCUGCCCCCAGCCGCCAUCCCUCCACCCGACACAGAGGAGGACAGCCGCCUGCAGAUGAAGGAGAUCCGGGUGCAGCUCAUCGGGGGCUUCAAGGAGCAGCUGGAGAUGCGACGCAGCCCGGUGGAGCUGGAGAGCACCAGCCUCGAGCUGCACGUGGACGUGUCCCACUACCUGCCGACCAUGGCAGAGCUGGGCUGGAGCAGCGUCUGGCCAAAGCCAAGAAGAAGGCCUCGCCGAUGGAGCAGCUGCCGCCCACGCAGGUCGUCAGCAAGGACAGCGGGAGGCGCUGCGACUGCUUGCAGGGCCCGCGAGCUGGAGGUGGAGGACACGGCACUGCAGGCCAACAGCCUGUGCAGGAAGAACCUGCUGUGCCAGAAGGACUUUGUGAUCCAGUGCUGCCAGCAGCACCGGCGGCUCUGCGAGCAGAUCAUCCAGGACCAGCGGCAGCUGAUUCAGGAUGUUUCGCCCCAUCUCUGCUUCCCGGACUCCCACAGACGGCGGCCUCGUGCGGUGCCGGAAGCCCUGGAGCAGCGGUACGGCCUACACUCCCGGGAGCUGGGUGUAGACACGCUGAACGGCCUGCUGCGGCUGCACUCCGUGAUGUCCAGCGCCCUGCCCGUCCAUCCACGUUGUAGCAGGUGUCCGAGUUUCCUCCCUUUUGAAGGCUGAGUGAUAUUCCAUUGUGUGGAUGGACCACAUUGUGUUCAUCCGUCAUCCGUCGAUGGACACUUGGGUGGCUUCCACACUUUUGGCUGCUGACGGCUCUGUUCUGCACAUCUCUCCCCCGCCGGAGGAGCCCAGCCGAGACCAGUGGGACGACAGGGAGGACCUCCCGUGGGGGGCCCAGUGUGAGCUGCCGCCCAUGCUGCUGGAUCCAGACAGUGAUGGUUACGAGUCAUCGAAAGCCACGCCAUCGAAAAAGCUGGGGAAGCAAGACUCUCUUCUCCCCCCGUCAUCCCUCCGCCUCCUGCUGACCCCCCAAGUUCGCGAGGUUGGUGUGUGCGGCGCUAACCAGGACCCCGGGCUCUAGUGAGGCCUCCCCUGCCAACAGGGUCGUGGGGCCCCUUCAGAGCUGUGCUGGGCCAGGGUCGAGCAUGAGAGAAGCUUCUGGAAGGAGGACUCUCCUUAAGCAGCCGUCACAACAGUGAAGCCGAGCUCCCUGAGUGUGAAGAAUCUGGUCCCCCAGCUGUGCUCCCCGGCCGGCCUGGAGCUGGGCACCCACACUGAGGAUGGCAGCAGAGGCCGGGCUGAGAGCCCAGGCCCUCAAGGAGCACCGAGAGCAUUGCCCUCACUGCGGCCACCCGGUGCUCCAAGGCUGGGACCGCGAGGGCAGCAGCGGCCACUCUUCCCCCCACCCUCUGGGGGACAUGGCCCCGGACUUCAGGGACCCCAAGCCCAGCGUCACCCCGGAGGCCAGCCCAGCAGACAGGAGGUGGCCGCACGCCAGCCCCGGCAAGGACCGCUCCGUGGAGAGGAAGGCCAGGGGGAAGCGGUCACCCUCCCUCACCUGGGGCGUCCAGCUGGUGGGUGCUCUGGUCCCAGGGGUCCAGCCAGAGCAGCAGAGGGGGAAGUUCCGGGACUGGCCUCAACAAAGUUAUGGUGGGUGUGGGAGGACCCAGGAUGCAAGGGAGAGAGAAGAGAGCCAGGGCCCCCACCUGCACCUUCACUGUGACCAUUUCCCCCGCCUUCUGACCUGAAGCCACGUGUGUACAUAUUGUGUGUGGUCAUCAUCCCAGGGGAAAUGCAGUUUUGUGA